AACAACGAAAACAGCUGCUGAUUUCUCAAUUUUAUUAAAAAAACAAUUAAAGUAGACAAAUUCAAGCAUUAAAAACCGAAAUAAAACGACAAGCAGUCAUGGCGGAUGUCGCAGCAUGUGAAUUGCACAACGAGAACAAUGCGCCCCCAAUCAUGUGUUGCAAGCACAUGUACGACUUAUCGAGCGUUCGCGUCAUGAUGAGACCGGUGGCGAGGUCUGCCAUUUGGUGGAAGAGUUGAAUGGCACGCAAUUGAGGGACCAAGCGGAACGACAGGUGUGCCAAAUGAACUGUUUGGCAGCCUGUUGCGUUUGGUAACAGAUGAACGAUUCACUUUGCGGCUACACAUAGGCAAGAGAUCCCAGAUCUUGGCUUCCAUGUCAAAAACCGCAUGGACCACAGCCAAGACAAUGUAGAGUAAUACUGCCCUAGUGUGCUGUUCGAGGAGGAGAGAAGGAUUGAGUGAGAGACUCCCAUUGAUUACAGGGAAUUAAACCAUUGAAGAGACUGCCAGCAUUGUGAAAAAAUAUCGCAUCUCCUUCAGACGACUGCAGAGUUGUCUGAGCAUCCACGAGGAUGCCAUGGUUGCGCAGAGUAAGUCGCCUAUGCGUUCGAGUUCCUCAACGAUGCAGCCUGUGGGUCCACAAAUGGAACUGGCCUAGAUGAUUGAGCAAGGAUUCGUCAAGCGCUUCACUGAGCCACGGAGAAGAUAAUCGAAACCGUUCUUGUUAUCAUGGAGCUGAAGGAAUCGUCUGCUGCUGCACUCCAAUAGAGUUGGCUGAUGGGGUCCAGUCCUGCAAUCGGUAUCAAAUCGCAACGUUGAGCUAACCAUGUAGCUGUAGUCCAGCUAAAGCGCUAAUGCCCCGCCACUGCAACCAUUUUCCCGCAGAGGAUCGAUGAAGGCGAUGAGCGACUCCUACUUGUCCUGCGGUCUGGAUUUCAUGUUCUCCAUCGAAGUGGACGAAUUCCAAUCUGAAAGUGUGGACGACUCUGCUUGGAACGCAGGAUA